rnacentral:rRNA from 1 species
UACAGAGGGGGCAAGCGUUGUUCGGAAUUCCUGGGCGUAAAGGGCGCGUAGGCGGCCUUCUAAGUCGAACGUGAAAUCCCCGGGCUCAACCCGGGAACUGCGUCCGAUACUGGAAGGCUUGAAUCCGGGAGAGGGAUGCGGAAUUCCAGGUGUAGCGGUGAAAUGCGUAGAUAUCUGGAGGAACACCGGUGGCGAAGGCGGCAUCCUGGACCGGCAUUGACGCUGAGGCGCGAAAGCCAGGGGAGCAAACGGG